GUCCGUGCCAUUCGCGCUCGCCUCUUCGCCGAAUUCGGUUUCCGACCGGCGGUAGUCCCGUCAGCGCGGCGCGACGCGCACGUCGCCGGACGCUCGUCCGUCCCCGCGGCGUCGACGGCUGCGCGUGUACCUAACGUGUGUGUGUGUGUGUAUAGGUAUAUGGCGGGCGCCCUCGUCGGUCGCGUUUCGCCGGCACCGCCACCACCACGUCGCCGACCGGGCGCACGCGCGAUAUAGUAUUACUAUUACUAUUAUUAUUAUCAUCAUCAACAUUAUUGUUGUUGUCGUUAUUGCAAUACCUAUAUAUACAUAACGCCGCAGCUGUCGACGACACACGACUCGCGACGCGGACCGAACGCCGUCGCCGCACACAUGUAAUAACAACAAUAUAAUAUAUUCAAUAGUAUUAAUAUUAUCACAUAAAUUUAUAAGUAUAAUUAUAUGCCAUCGUUUUACCCGCCGCCGAGGUGGUUUUCGUUUUAAUUCGCGUCCAAGCAAUAUAGUUAUACGGUAUCACUCGCAAUCACUGUAAAACCAAAACCACGUAGGUACACACACACACACACACACAUACACAUCACACAAACUCACGGGCGCGCGGAAGUCCGUUACGGUUUUAGGCCGCGUUCACGUGCCUAAUACGUAUAUAUUUUUAUAUAUAUAUAAGAAAAUGCUUCAUUUUACCGUGAUUCAAGAUCAAGUUUAAGAUUUAUAUCAACUACCAAGUGCAAGUACAUAAUUUAGCGAUACGCACACACUCGUUAAUGCGUGCAUAAUAUACAUGACGUAUAUAAUGAUAUCCGUCCGUGGUGUACCUAUACGUGUUUGUAGUUUGUAUAUUACAUGCGACGACGGCAUCGCUUCCUGUUGAAGUUUGUGCGAUGUCAAUAAGCUGUGCUUUCGAAAUUUGAACCUACUUCCGGUCUACCGCCGAACAUAUAUUAUUGAAACCUGAGAAACCAACAUAUAAUCGAAAAUAUACUUGAAUGCGAACUUAUCGUCAGUGGAUAAAUAGACAAUAUCUGAUUACCGCUGCUUUGCUGCUUUUCAAAACAAGUCUAUCGGAAUGGUGACCGUCAGGUCUAAAAACGGUUCUACACGGUCUCAUAAAACCACGACAACCAACGAAACCGUGCAUAAUGUGUAAGCGGCUUCACGGCGACCGACGAAUAUAUAGAUAUUAAGAAUAUGAUAGUAUUAGCUGGUGUAUUGUUAUUUUUAUUAUUAUUGUAAUUUCUUUUUCUUCGAUACCCGCGGUGAACGUCAUGAUAACCUGUAAUGAAAAACGAUCUGCGAAA